rnacentral:lncRNA from 1 species
GGGUUGUUGGGGGAAAUUGAAAGGCAAAAGAAAGGCAUUGAGCUCAAGUGUUGAAUGAAAAAAGCAUGAGAAAAGAAAGAAAUGAAAAGAAAAAGCAUGAAAGGUGAGCUCAAUGUAAAAGAAAAGGAAAAAAGGGAAAGUUGGAAAUGAGUGAGAUUGGUAAAAAAGAGAGUUUUGUGCUUGAACUAUGAUUAUGUGAAUAACUUUCUUAACUCAAGGAUUUUGUGAUCUGAAAAACCAAUGUUUCUUGUUAGCCCAGCCACAUUAUAAGCCUUGAAAAGUCCUUAUGAUGGCAUUUGUAUGUAAAGAUGUUGAUUGUAUUAGAUGAAUCUCAAUUUUGUUUCAUGUGUCAGGAAAAUAGUAGAGA